rnacentral:rRNA from 1 species
UACGAAGGGGGCUAGCGUUGCUCGGAAUGACUGGGCGUAAAGGGCGCGUAGGCGGAUGGCACAGUCAGAUGUGAAAUUCCCGGGCUUAACCUGGGGGCUGCAUUUGAUACGUGUUGUCUUGAGUUCGGAAGAGGGUCGUGGAAUUCCCAGUGUAGAGGUGAAAUUCGUAGAUAUUGGGAAGAACACCGGUGGCGAAGGCGGCGACCUGGUCCAUUACUGACGCUGAGGCGCGAAAGCGUGGGGAGCAAACAGG